rnacentral:rRNA from 1 species
AGCGAACGCUGGCGGCAGGCCUAAUACAUGCAAGUCGAACGGAUCCUUCGGGAUUAGUGGCGGACGGGUGAGUAACACGUGGGAACGUGCCCUUUGGUUCGGAACAACUCAGGGAAACUUGAGCUAAUACCGAAUGUGCCCUUCGGGGGAAAGAUUUAUCGCCAUUGGAGCGGCCCGCGUCUGAUUAGCUAGUUGGUGGGGUAAAGGCCCACCAAGGCUACGAUCAGUAGCUGGUCUGAGAGGAUGAUCAGCCACACUGGGACUGAGACACGGCCCAGACUCCUACGGGAGGCAGCAGUAGGGAAUCUUGCGCAAUGAGCGAAAGCCUGACGCAGCCAUGCCGCGUGAAUGAUGAAAGGCUUAAGAUUGUAAAAUUCUUUCAGCGGGGACGAUAAUGACGGUACCCGCAGAAGAAGCCCCGGCUAACUUCGUGGCAGCAGCCGCGGGAAUACAGAAGUGGGUAGCGUUACUCCGAAUUAUUGGGUGGAAAAGGCAAAUAAGCGGCUUGGUAAAUGGGGGGUGAAAUACUCCCGCGUCAUCGGAGAAAUGGCUUCCCAACUACCCAACUUGAGUGUGACAGAAGGAAAAGGAAUUCUCGGGGGAAGGGGGAAAAUUGUUUAUAUCUAGAAGAAACCCACCGGCGAAAGCGAGUUUCUGGGGGCCUACUGACGCCCAAAUUCGAAAGCUAGGGGGAGCAACAAAAUAAAUAAUCUGGUGGGCCCAACCCGCAAACAAUGAGCACCAAAGGGCGGGGCCCUUUUGGGGGGGGGGGCGGCGCUAACCCCUUAAUGCUCCCCACCGGGGAGACGGGGCGCAGGGGUAAAAUCCAAAGAAUUUGGG